UUUUCCUUUUUGAACCACAUCAAAUUUUUGACUUUCAAUAAACUACAUAAAUUCACACGAUAAAUACAUUCACACUUUCACAUGGAUAGUCACACACAGAAAUCCAAUUCAAAUAAUAACUAACAAGGCAAGAGUUCAUUAUUUGCAUGAAUGUAAAUGAAGACAAAAGGAGCGCAUACCACAAUCCUUAUAAGAAGGGCCAAGCCCUGUUCAUAUUUGGUAUCAGUGUUGAAUAUUUGACAAGGGUUGAAAUCACAUGCCUCUCAUGCACUGACAGAUUUUUUGGUUCAUAAUAGGCUGAGCCUAGGAAGAAAACUCAUGUACAUCCUGAAACCAAGAUCGACUCCAUGAAGCUUUACAAACAAAAAUGGGUUUCUUUGCACGACAAGUAUAUAACAUAAAAUAAAAGAAUAAUGAUCCAUACCAACCGCUGUACAUCAAUGGUUCAAAUACACAAAUGAUAAACCUGAUGAAAAGUUACGGAACCACCAAUCAGAACCAACCUUGCUUGCUUUUCUUGACUUCGAAUAAUUCUGAGAACUUAUAUUGAAUGAAUGGUCAUCCAUCCACAGGUUGUAGGGAAAAGUACUCAAGACUAAGGCCAAUGCAAAUAUCCCAGUCUCGUAAUGAGGAAUUUUCGUUUGGAAAUUUAUUACCAAUAAUCCCCACAAGAGCAUUUUCCAUCUUUGAAAUGAUGGAAUCGCUGCACAUCUCUAAGAAUUAUUUGCCUAUCAAAUAUUGAUGAUAUAAGUUUAGCAGCAGAAUGGCAAUCCCCACAAACUCGAAGAUUCUUCACCACACGGAUUGUUGUCCCAGGUGGAGUGUUAAGUAAGCCAAAUGCAAGUGCUAAUUUCUCACUAUGAUAUCUAAGAGUAAUUUCUUUCUCCUUAUCAUUCAUGUCUGCAUGAAAGACUAGAGAAGUAUCGGGUACAUAACCAACCAAUUUUAAUUCCUUGACCAACUCGUCAAGCGCUCGAUGCAAGUCAGUAGAAACAUAGUGCACCCCUUCCCCAGAGAAGAAUUCAUGUACUAUGUUGUUCACCUCUAUGGAGCUGCACCCGGGAAUCUUUACCACCCCUCUAUCAAUCAUCAAUUUCCUUAAGGAAUCCACAUCUUCCCAUUUCUUAGCUCUUGCAUACAAGUUAGAUAAAAUCACAUAAUCUCCACCGUGAGAGUCAUCUAGUUCAAAAAUUCGUUCAAUCACCUGCUUCCCUAAUUCUACAUUGCCAUGGCUGCUACAAGCAGAUAACAAGGUUCGCCAGAGUAUGGGUGUGGGCUUAAUUGG
rnacentral:misc_RNA from 1 species